AAGUUAUAAAAUAAUUGUACGUGCAGCACCACUUAUAAUUUAGAGGCUUAAUGAUGUUCUGUUGGAUCAAAAUUUAUUUAAGAAACGUUAGAUCUACAUUUUUUUUAAAAAAAAAAAAAAUAAUUUUUAUACAAUUUACUAAUAAAUUAGCAUAUUUAGCAUUUAUUUAUUAUAUAUAUAAAAAAUGCAACACAAAUUAUUAAAAUUCGAUGUUCGGACACACCUAUAAAAUAGCCGUGGCCACAACGGACAACACCCAACGAGAGAGAGAUGGAUUUCACAGAACUGAGAGAAGCAAUAGAGGAGAUGGAGGUCGUGGACGCCACGCCCACAACGUCGUCGCUCUCGACUCCACUGUCCCUUUCAUCAGUGGCUUCUCCGAAGCCAACGGUGACGCGUUGACCUUCGCGCCCCAUUCCCUCUCCUUCAAGAGAAAUCUAAGGCAUGUUGCUGAAUUGUAUGGAUCGAGACUAGUUGAUCGAUGUUGAUGAAUGGGUUGGGUAUAUAUUGUGGUGCUAAUCUUAUGAACUUGGAGUGGUAUAUAUAGAGAGCCUAGCCUAGCUUAAACGCGAGUAUCAAGGCGAACCCUGCGGUUGGGUUCGACGUAAGUUCCAGUACCAGAAAUCCUCGAUCAUUGACUUUUGAUUGGAACCAUGCGGAAAAUUUUUUAUCGUCUUAGAUAUGGCAAUGGAGCUGUGGGACCGUCGUCAUCUAGCUCGACGGAAGAGCCGCGAGCUGAGAGAGACGGACGAUUGGAGUUAUUUCCAUGUGUCAGUAUUUGGGAAAGGGAGGCAAAUCCAUUUACUACUUUGCUACUUUUUUUCUACAAACUGGUGUCAAAUGUCUAUGUCUUGGAAGAUGACUAAUGACUUUCGUAUACAUAUUCAAUUAAGGUGGGAGGUAUACUACGAGGCGGCCGGACUAUUUUUCGCCACAAACGAACGAUAUACGUCAUACGUGCAUAGAAUAUUUUGUCUGAUUUCAACGUACGUGGCCGCCUGCACAUGUUUUGAAGUUGAAGCUCUUGGUGUCAUUAACCUAAUCCAUAGGGCAUCUACCUGGUAUCUGCAUGAGAGAAGGAACGCAUAAUUCCACUCCGUAAAUUCAAGGGCAGAAAGUGAUAACGUAGUCAGGUGCAUUGGAGCAGGUAAACGUGCUGUUCUUAUCAUCAUAAGCGUAGCUAUAAGCUUGAGGGCAUUGGUUCUCGAAGAUCAUCGAAUAGUUUGUGGGUGGACAUGUUUCUGGGGUACUAUGAUCGCCAGUGCAACAGUAUUGUGGCUCAUUCAAAGCUAAGCAUGCGCUCUUGCAAGCGAUCACGCUCCCAUCAGACCCUUUCAGUUGCAGCUCAGCAGGGCAAACGGCGUUCACGUCUGCUGGGCAACUCGAGGGCUUGCAAUCACCGGUCCCGCCUUGUGUGGCAACAGAAAUAGGGAGGUUGAAGCCAUCUACAAGGCUGACAUCGUAGAAAUCUUGUCCACCAUUCGCUGCUAUGUUGAUUUCUACCAAAGAUGCCGGUGGGAUUGCACCGGCACCGUUGCAUGCAACCUGGCCGGAGGCACAAUCAGCAGUUUCGCAGGUGAACUUUCCUGAGGCGUCGGUGGUGCAUCGUGUUCGUGCCCAGAACCGACCUAUCCAUGGAGCUUGGACAUCAACCGAUGAGGAUGCUUUGGAUGCCAGCUCAAAUCCAGUAGUUGAUAGCUGAGGUUUCUGGUCUGCCGUUAGAGUUCCUGGCCAAACAGUUGUUGGACAGUUGUUUGUGAAAGUUAUUUUAGCAGCAUGAGCACCUGCAUAACAUAAAUUGUCAGAAGAAUGGUCAACUCAUCAAAUCCAUUUAUUUCAUAAUAGCUUAAAUUUUUAGGAUAAAA